UACGUAGGGUCCGAGCGUUGUCCGGAAUUACUGGGCGUAAAGAGCUCGUAGGUGGUUUGUCGCGUUGUCCGUGAAAACUCACAGCUCAACUGUGGGCGUGCGGGCGAUACGGGCAGACUGGAGUACUGCAGGGGAGACUGGAAUUCCUGGUGUAGCGGUGGAAUGCGCAGAUAUCAGGAGGAACACCGGUGGCGAAGGCGGGUCUCUGGGCAGUAACUGACGCUGAGGAGCGAAAGCGGGGGGAGCGAACAGG
rnacentral:rRNA from 1 species